rnacentral:rRNA from 1 species
UAAGAGGUCAUGCCUGCCCUGUGACUAAAUGUUUAACGGCCGCGGUAUUUUGACCGUGCAAAGGUAGCGCAAUCACUUGUCUUUUAAAUGAAGACCCGUAUGAAUGGCUUAACGAGGGCUUAACUGUCUCCUUUUCCAAGUCAAUGAAAUUGAUUUCCCCGUGCAGAAGCGGGGAUGAUUACAUAAGACGAGAAGACCCUAUGGAGCUUUAGACACCAAGACAGCUCACCUACCCUCUCCCUCCUAAUAAGGACCAAAUUAAGUGACCCUUUCCUAAUGUCUUUGGUUGGGGCGACCGCGGGGAAGCACUUAUCCCCCACGUAGAACGGGAGGACUCCUCCUAAAAAAAAGAAGGUCCACUUCUAACAAUCAGAAUCUCUGGCUAAAAAUGAUCCGGCAAUGCCGAUCAACGGACCGAGUUACCCUAGGGAUAACAGCGCAAUCCUCUUUUAGAGCCCAUAUCGACAAGAGGGUUUACGACCUCGAUGUUGGAUCAGGACAUCCUAAUGGUGUAGCAGCUAUUAAGGGUUCGUUUGUUCAACG